rnacentral:rRNA from 1 species
GACGAACGCUGGCGGCGUGCUUAACACAUGCAAGUCGAACGGAAAGGCCCUGCUUUUGUGGGGUGCUCGAGUGGCGAACGGGUGAGUAACACGUGAGUAACCUGCCUUUGACUUUGGGAUAACUUCAGGAAACUGUGGCUAAUACCGGAUAGGAGCUCCUGCUGCAUGGCGGGGGUUGGAAAGUUUCGGCGGCUGGGGAUGGACUCGCGGCUUAGCAGCUUGUUGGUGGGGUAGUGGAUUACCAAGGCUUUGACGGGUAGCCGGCCUGAGAGGGUGACCGGCCACAUUGGGACUGAGAUACGGCCCAGACUCCUACGGGAGGCAGCAGUGGGGAAUAGUGCACACUGGGCGGAAGCCUGAUGCAGCAACUCCGCGUGCGAGAUGACGGCCUUCGGGUUGUAAACCGCUUUCGCCUGUGACGAAGCGUGAGUGACGGUAAUGGGUAAAGAAGCACCGGCUAACUGCGUG